rnacentral:rRNA from 1 species
UACAGAGGUCCCGAGCGUUGUUCGGAUUCAUUGGGCGUAAAGGGUGCGUAGGCGGCUUUCUAAGUUUGACGUGAAAUCCUGGGGCUCAACCCUGGAACUGCAUUGAAUACUGGGAGGCUAGAGAACUGGAGAGGAGACUGGAAUUUACGGUGUAGCAGUGAAAUGCGUAGAUAUCAGGAGGAACACCUGUGGUGUAGACAGCUUACUGGACCAUUACUGACACUGAGACACGAAAGCGUGGGUAGCAAACAGG